ACAUAGAGAAAUAAAAACAAAAGACGAGAGUACGAAAAACUCUUGUUGUCCCCUUGUUUCUUCUUAUUUUUUUU
rnacentral:ribozyme from 1 species